rnacentral:lncRNA from 10 species
CAUGAGGCCUCUCAUCUCAGGACUGGAGCACUGUUAAACAUUUGCCAGCACACCACUGAAUAUAUGCAUAGAAGAUUCUGUCUCAGGAAAAGGAGGGAAUAUAUAGGAUGGAUGAAAAGAUCUUUCUGGAGGAGGCUGGAUUUGAAAUGACCCUUGGAAAACGUGCAAUAUUUAGCCUGUUAGAGAAGGAAGAAAAGGACAUGCCAGGCACAAGAAACAAAAGCAAAAACCAAGGGACAGUCUGGCUGGAGUGAAGGCUGUGUAUAGCCUUAAUGAGCAAUAAUGCUGUGAACGUAUGCUGGAUCCCGGCUGAAGGAAGCCUAGAAUGACAGCUGUGAUGGAUUUCUGUUAUCUCUCUUUCUUCUUACUUUCCCCCUUCUUCUCGUAGUAGCCUUCUGCCAGCAGCCAUGCUGCACCAGUGGAUUCUGCCCCACACAGAGCACACCCCACCCUCUGUCCAUAGUGAUAGGUCCUAGGAGAGACACACAGCCCAGGAUGGUCCAAGCAGAGCCCCCAAGCAGAUGUUUCUUAACUGGAUACGGUAUGCCAAAAGACAUUUUCCCCUUCUGUAGUUACUAAGCUUGAAGAAUGGCAGUCCAGAGCUGACUCAAGACACAUCAGGAGGAGAUAAGAGAAUCAACACAUAAUAAAAGCAGAGAUAAGAGAAGAAAGAGAGGUUUUUGAAUCUUUCGUUUCCGUUGUCUUCAGAUCAAAUCUCCCUGAUCUUUCUGAAGCU